rnacentral:lncRNA from 1 species
UUAGAUCUAUGAUUUGUUCUAUGAUGUAAUCAUGGUUUCUAUGAGCACCAUUAAAUUUCUAUACUUGGAGACCUAUGCAUCUCAUUAGAUUAGAUCUAAUGUUUGUAUCUUGGGUGCCUGCAUGCAUCAUAUGAUUCAUGUAAUUUGGAGAUCUACGAGUCACAUUAAAAAAGAUUGUAAUAAUUGUUAUUACUCUUAAUCUUCUAGGGUAUAUUCUAUGAUGUAUUUGUAUAUCAAUUGAUUGAUUGAAGUGCAAGCCUAUCGCAUGUGAUGAAUGUGGAUCGAGACGGGCGGUUGAUCGAUGCUAGAUUAAGGAGUUGAUCAUGAUUGGAUCAAGGAUGCUCAGGAUCAGAUCAAAG